GAUGAACGCUGGCGGCGUGCCUAAUACAUGCAAGUCGAGCGAACGGACGAGAAGCUUGCUUCUCUGAUGUUAGCGGCGGACGGGUGAGUAACACGUGGAUAACCUACCUAUAAGACUGGGAUAAUUUCGGGAAACCGGAGCUAAUACCGGAUAAUAUUUUGAACCGCAUGGUUCAAAAGUGAAAGACGGUCUUGCUGUCACUUAUAGAUGGAUCCGCGCUGCAUUAACUAGUUGGUAAGGUAACGGCUUACCAAGGCAACGAUGCAUAGCCGACCUGAGAGGGUGAUCGGCCACACUGGAACUGAGACACGGUCCAGACUCCUACGGGAGGCAGCAGUAGGGAAUCUUCCGCAAUGGGCGAAAGCCUGACGGAGCAACGCCGCGUGAGUGAUGAAGGUCUUCGGAUCGUAAAACUCUGUUAUUAGGGAAGAACAUAUGUGUAAGUAACUGUGCACAUCUUGACGGUACCUAAUCAGAAAGCCACGGCUAACUACGUG
rnacentral:rRNA from 1 species